UACGGAGGGUGCAAGCGUUAUUCGGACUGACUGGGCGUAAAGCGCGCGUAGGCGGUGUGUUAAGUCGGAUGUGAAAGCCCAGGGCUCAACCUUGGAAUUGCAUCCGAUACUGGCACGCUAGAGUGCAGUAGAGGGAGGUGGAAUUUCCGGUGUAGCGGUGAAAUGCGUAGAGAUCGGAAGGAACACCAGUGGCGAAGGCGGCCUCCUGGACUGAUACUGACACUGAGGUGCGAAAGCGUGGGUAGCAAACAGG
rnacentral:misc_RNA from 1 species